rnacentral:rRNA from 1 species
UACGUAGGGCGCAAGCGUUGUCCGGAAUUAUUGGGCGUAAAGAGCUCGUAGGCGGCCAGUUGCGUCCGCUGUGAAAUCCCGGGGCUUAACCCCGGGCGUGCAGUGGAUACGGGCUGGCUAGAGGCAGGCAGGGGAGAACGGAAUUCCCGGUGUAGCGGUGAAAUGCGCAGAUAUCGGGAGGAACACCGGUGGCGAAGGCGGUUCUCUGGGCCUGACCUGACGCUGAGGAGCGAAAGCGUGGGGAGCGAACAGG